rnacentral:rRNA from 1 species
GACGAACGCUGGCGGCGUGCUUAACACAUGCAAGUCGAACGGAAAGGCCCUGCUUUUGUGGGGUGCUCGAGUGGCGAACGGGUGAGUAACACGUGAGUAACCUGCCCUUGACUUUGGGAUAACUUCAGGAAACUGGGGUUAAUACCGGAUAGGAGCUCCUGCUGCAUGGUGGGGGUUGGAAAGUUUCGGCGGUUGGGGAUGGACUCGCGGCUUAUCAGUUUGUUGGUGGGGUAGUGGCUUACCAAGGCUUUGACGGGUAGCCGGCCUGAGAGGGUGACCGGCCACAUUGGGACUGAGAUACGGCCCAGACUCCUACGGGAGGCAGCAGUGGGGAAUAUUGCACAGUGGGCGGAAGCCUGAUGCGACAACGCCGCGUGCGGGAUGACGGCCUUCGGGUUGUGAACCGCUUUCGCCUGUGACGAAGCGUGAGUGACGGUAAUGGGUAAAGAAGCACCGGCUAACUACGUG